rnacentral:rRNA from 1 species
UACGAAGGGGGCGAGCGUUGUUCGGAUUCAUUGGGCGUAAAGGGUGCGUAGGUGGCGCCGUAAGUCAGGUGUGAAAUCUCGGGGCUUAACUCCGAAACUGCAUUUGAUACUGCGGUGCUUGAGGACUGGAGAGGAGACUGGAAUUUACGGUGUAGCGGUGAAAUGCGUAGAUAUCGUAAGGAAGACCAGUGGCGAAGGCGGGUCUCUGGACAGUUCCUGACGCUGAGGCACGAAGGCCAGGGGAGCAAACGGG